UACGUGGGGUGCAAGCGUUGUCCGGAAUUAUUGGGCGUAAAGAGCUCGUAGGCGGUCUGUUGCGUCGGCUGUGAAAACCCGGGGCUCAACUCCGGGCCUGCAGCCGAUACGGGCAGACUAGAGUUCGGCAGGGGGAGACUGGAAUUCCUGGUGUAGCGGUGGAAUGCGCAGAUAUCAGGAGGAACACCGAUGGCGAAGGCAGGUCACUGGGCCGCAACUGACGCUGAGGAGCGAAAGCAUGGGGAGCGAACAGG
rnacentral:rRNA from 1 species